rnacentral:tRNA from 1 species
GAGGGUACAGCUCAAGUGGUAGAGCCCAUGCUUAGCAUGCACCAGGUCCUGGGUUCAAUCCCCGGUACCUCCU